AAUAAAUAGAACGGGAGCUCGCAGACGGGCUGAGAGGAAGUUGCGCACUUCGACCGCACCUGAUUUGGAUAAUGCCAACGUAGGGGAGAUUUUUAUAGACCGGGAA
rnacentral:ncRNA from 1 species